rnacentral:rRNA from 1 species
AUUGAACGCUGGCGGCCGGCCUAACACAUGCAAGUCGAACGAGUGGCGGACGGGUGAGUAAUGUCUGGGAAACUGCCUGAUGGAGGGGGAUAACUACUGGAAACGGUAGCUCAUACCGCAUCCCAUCGGCUGUGCCCAGAUGGGAUUAGCUAGUAGGUGGGGUAAAUGCUCACCUAGGCGACUAUCCCUAGCUGGUCUGAGAGGAUGACCAGCCAAACGGGAACUGAGACACGGUCCAGACUCCUACGAGAGUCAGCAGUGGGGAAUAUUGCACAAUGGGCGAAAGCCUGAUGCAGCCAUGCCGCGUGUAUGAAGAAGGCCUUCGGGUUGUAAAGUACUUUCAGCGGGGAGGCGUUACCCGCAGAAGAAGCACCGGCUAACUCCGUGCCAGCCGCCGCGGUAAUAC